rnacentral:rRNA from 1 species
UGAAUACGAGACGCUAAGGCGUUGAAGUAGUGUAUGUCAUACUUCCAAGAAAAGCUUGCACUGUCAUAGAUAAAAAACGCCUGUACCAUAACCGACACAGGUGGGUAGGUAGAGUAUACUAAGGGGCGCGAGAUAACUCUCUCUAAGGAACUCGGCAAAAUAACUCCGUAACUUCGGGAGAAGGAGUGCCUUAUUUAUAAGGCUGCAAUAACAAGAUCCAAGCAACUGUUUAUCAAAAACACAGGUCUCCGCUAAGUCGUAAGACGAUGUAUGGGGGCUGACGCCUGCCCAGUGCCAGAAGGUUAAAGAAGUUGGUUAGCAAUAGCGAAGCUGAUAACUGAAGCCCUGGUGAACGGCGGCCGUAACGAUAACGGUCCUAAGGUAGCGAAAUUCCUUGUCGGGUAAGUUCCGACCCGCACGAAAGGCGUAAUGAUUUGGAUACUGUCUCGGAGAGGGGCUCGGUGAAAUAGACUUGUCUGUGAAGAUGCGGACUACCUGCACCAGGACAGAAAGACCCUAUGAAGCUUUACUGUAACUUGAAAUUGAAAUUGGACUUUAUUCGCGCAGUAUAGGUGGGAGGCGUUGAUUGUAAUCUUGCGGGAUUAUUGGAGCCAUCAGUGAGAUACCACCCUUGUAAUGUUAGAUUUCUAACUUUGAAUCAUUAUCUGGUCAAAGAACAGUUUCAGGCGGGCAGUUUGACUGGGGCGGUCGCCUCCUAAACGGUAACGGAGGCGUACAAAGGUUUCCUCUGAACGGUUAGAAAUCGUAUCUAGAGUGUAAAGGCAUAAGGAAGCUUGACUGUGAGACCUACAAGUCGAGCAGGGACGAAAGUCGGUCUUAGUGAUCUGACGGUACUGAGUGGAAAGGCCGUCACUCAACGGAUAAAAGUUACUCUAAGGAUAACAGGCUGAUCUCCCCCAAGAGUUCACAUCGACGGGGAGGUUUGGCACCUCGAUGUCGGCUCAUCGCAUCCUGGGGCGGUAGUACGUCCCAAGGGUUGGGCUGUUCGCCCAUGAAAGCGGUACGCGAGCUGGGUUCAGAACGUCGUGAGACAGUUCGGUCCAUAUCCGGUGUAGGCGUUAGAAUAUUGAGAGGAGCCUUCUUUAGUACGAGAGGACCGAGAAGGACAUACCUCUGGUGUACCAGUUAUCGUGCCAACGGUAAACGCUGGGUAGCUAUGUAUGGAGUGGAUAACCGCUGAAAGCAUCUAAGUGGGAAGCCCACCUCAUGAUAAGUAUUCUCAU